GGCAUCGUAGCUCAGCUGGUAGAGCAUGCACGUACAAAGCGUAGACGACGCCCAAGCGUGGGUUUGAAUUCCACCGAGGCUA
rnacentral:tRNA from 1 species